rnacentral:pre_miRNA from 10 species
UCUCACCUGAACGCAUGACUCUUCAACCUCAGGACUUGCAGAAUUGAUGGAAUGCCGUCCUAAGGUUGUUGAGUUGUGCGUUUCUGGGC